GUCCUGGAACUCACUCUGUAGAACAGGUCGGCCUCGAACUCCGAGAUCUAAUUUGCCUUUGCCUCUGCCUCUGCCUGCCAGUGGUAUUAAAGCCACCUGAGUUUUAUUCCUUUCUGUCAGCCUCUCCCCUCUGCUCCCACUUUGCAGCCAUUCUACUUUAGUCUCUGGAUUUGAGCCUUCCAGGCGUGCCCCGGGACUAGAGUCACGUGGGCUUUGCCCUUCCGCGGUGGUUCUUUCAUUUGCAGUACUCCCAAGUAUUACAGCAUGCGUGAUGUCUUAGUUACGUCUCGAUGGCUAUGAAAAGCACCGAGGCAGCUUAUAAAGGAAAGCAUUUAAUUUGGGGCUAACAGUUCCAGAGGUUUAGAGUGCAUGACCAUCAUGGCAGGGAGCAUGCCGGCAGGUGGGUGGGCAGGCGGGCGGGCAGGGUAUGGGGUGCUGGAGCUGGCAAUUUGCACUUGCUCCACAGGCAUGAGGCAGAGAGAGCUAGCUAGUUGAGAAUGGCUUGGGCUUUUGAAAUCUCAAAGCCUACCCCCAAUGACAUCUCCAGCAAGGCCACACCUCCUCCUCCUCCUCAAACAGUUCCAUCCACUGGGGACCAAGCAUUCAAAUGUAAGAGCCAUUGGGGGCCAUUUGCAGUCAGACCACUACAGAUGAGACACUCCUUCCUCUUUUUCCUUUUGGAGACAGUGUCAUUAGCCCAGACAGGCCUUGCGUUUACAUUGUCCAAGGAUGUCAUUGAACCUCCUGCCCCUGCCUCUUAGUGGUGGGACCACAGGUGUGCACAAGACGGGCUGGAACCCAGGCCUUCAUUCUGGUCAGGAAAGCACUCUCGCAGCAGAGCCACGUCUCCAGCCCAAUGUCCUGCUUGUAAAGACGCAGUGAUGUUCAUUACAUGCAUAGCUCACAUUUUGCUAAUUCCGGCCACCGUUAGACUGUUAGAAUGCCAUGAAUCUGAGAGCACAAAUCAUAUUGCAGUCCCAGAAGUGCAGUGGCUGGACUGCAUAAUUCUCUUUUGAGUUUAAUUUUGUUUUAAGGAAUUAUCCAAAGCAGCAGUGCAGCAGUUUGAAGCUUUCCAAUUCUCUCCACAUCUUUUCUAGCUGUUACUAUCUUACGUUUUUGUUGUUUGAAAUUCCUAUGUGCCGUCUUGUUGAUACCAUAGAACCAAAAACUAUGCCUGAAGAGAGUGUGUGUUAGGAUUCAUAGGUACUACCCAGGGCCCUGCAGCCUCUUCCUUAGAGAAGAAGCUUGGCUCGGCCACAGUAACGCCACCUGCUCUUUCUGUGGGUGCACACAGGGGAGAGGCAGAAGUUUGUGGCUUGCCUGUGAAUUGGAUCACGAAGUGUGGCUGCUCUCCCUGGAGAGGAUGUCACUGGGUCUGGGUGCCAUCUGGGUUUAGUUGGGGUGUGAUGCUGAGCUAAUUUUACAGAAAUGACACGCCACGGGAAGUUGAGCACAUAUCUUAAAGAAAGCUAUGAAACUAUAAAUGACGUGGGCCGGGACGCAUAGAGCACUGGCCAUGGUGGGUCUUCUACAUUCACCUCCCUGUGUUUUCCUCGUGCAGGAAUCAUGGCCCAAGUAGUGAUGUCUGCCUUGCCUGCCGAAGAUGAAGAGUCUUCAGAGAGCAGGAUGGUGGUGACCUUCCUCAUGUCUGCCCUGGAGUCCAUGGUGAGAUUCUGUGGCUCUGCCAGUGGUUUCUGUGAAACAGUAACUAAACGGAUUAAUUAUUACUCCUUUCUUAGAUGCUGGGAUUGAGCCAUCGCUGUGUCUCGUGUGGUAGGCCAGCGCUCUACCACUGUCUCCCUGGGGCCUAUUAUUAUUUUGAGGCCAUCUGACCUGCACUGUCUGAUCCUUUUUGUCUCGGUCUCCAAAAUGUUAGGAUUACAGCAGGCAAGCACUCUUGUAACUGAGCUGCAUCCUCGCAGUCCCAAGGUUUCAGCUUUGGAGUCAAUACUUUCCAACCAGGUUUCAUAGAACGUCUCUGUGCUGGGACUCAGGCCAGGCGUGGUCCAGCAUUGUGCUCUGCACCCUGCACAUCCCCAGCCCUCAGGUUCUUCAGGAGGUUUAAUUCCAUCAGAAAGCUUUCGUAAAGUCAGUCAGAGGUAGGAGGGUCUUUUUAGUAUUCUAGCACACUUUGGGCUAUAUAAUGAGACCCUGUCUUAAUAUA
rnacentral:lncRNA from 1 species